GACGAACGCUGGCGGCGUGCUUAACACAUGCAAGUCGAGCGGUAAGGCCCUUUCGGGGGUACACGAGCGGCGAACGGGUGAGUAACACGUGGGUGACCUGCCCUCAGCUCUGGGAUAAGCCUGGGAAACUGGGUCUAAUACUGGAUAUGACUCCACGGUGCAUGUCGUGGGGUGGAAAGCCUUGUGCGGCUGAGGAUGGGCCCGCGGCCUAUCAGCUUGUUGGUGGGGUGAGGCCUACCAAGGCGACGACGGGUAGCCGGCCUGAGAGGGCGACCGGCCACACUGGGACUGAGACACGGCCCAGACUCCUACGGGAGGCAGCAGUGGGGAAUCUUGCGCAAUGGGGCGAAAGCCUGACGCAGCGACGCCGCGUGAGGGAUGAC
rnacentral:rRNA from 1 species